rnacentral:rRNA from 1 species
UACGAAGGGUGCUAGCGUUGCUCGGAAUCACUGGGCGUAAAGCGCACGUAGGCGGACUCUUAAGUCGGUGGUGAAAUCCUGGAGCUCAACUCCAGAACUGCCUUCGAUACUGAGAGUCUCGAGUCCGAGAGAGGUGAGUGGAACUGCGAGUGUAGAGGUGAAAUUCGUAGAUAUUCGCAAGAACACCAGUGGCGAAGGCGGCUCACUGGCUCGGUACUGACGCUGAGGUGCGAAAGCGUGGGGAGCAAACAGG